rnacentral:rRNA from 1 species
GGCAUCGAGUGAUCGCAGUUUACUGAGUUCAUGUCGGCGAGCGGCGGACGGGUGAGUAAAGUCUGGGAAUCUGGCCGAAGGAGGGGGAUAACUGCUGGAAACGGCAGCUAAUACCGCAUGAAGUCGCGAGACCAAAGUGGGGGACCUUCGGGCCUCACGCCUUCGGAUGAGCCCAGAUGAGAUUAGCUGGUAGGUAAGGUAAAGGCUUACCUAGGCGACGAUCUCUAGCGGGUCUGAGAGGAUAGCCCGCCACACUGGAACUGAGACACGGUCCAGACUCCUACGGGAGGCAGCAGUGGGGAAUAUUGCACAAUGGGCGAAAGCCUGAUGCAGCCAUGCCACGUGUGUGAAGAAGGCCUUCGGGUUGUAAAGCACUUUCAGCGAGGAGGAAGCGAUAAAUGCGAAUACCAUUUAUUUUUGACGUUACUCGCAGAAGAAGCACCGGCUAACUCCGUGCCAGCAGCCGCGGUAAUACGGAGGGUGCGAGCGUUAAUCGGAAUAACUGGGCGUAAAGGGCAUGUAGGCGGCGAGUUAAGUCAGAUGUGAAAUCCCCGAGCUCAACUUGGGAAUGGCAUUUGAAACUGGGUCGCUAGAGUUUUCUAGAGGGGGGUAGAAUUCCAGGUGUAGCGGUGAAAUGCGUAGAUAUCUGGAGGAAUACCGGUGGCGAAGGCGGCCCCCUGGAG